GCGGCAAAAGCUCAGAUCUGGAAUCGCUUUUGGGAGUUGUGAAUUGCAAGUUGGCGCCUCAGCCGCGGCGGCGGGCCAAGUCCCUUGGAACAGGGCGCCGUUGACGGUGAGAGCCCCGUGGGACCGUUUGCCUAUGCUCUGAGGCCCUUCUGACGAGUCGAGUUGUUUGGGAAUGCAACUCUAAUCGGGUGGUAAAUUCCAUCUAAGGCUAAAUACUGGCGAGAGACCGAUAGCGAACAAGUACUGUGAAGGAAAGAUGAAAAGCACUUUGAAAAGAGAGUGAAACAGCACGUGAAAUUGUUGAAAGGGAAGGGUAUUGCGCCCGACAUGGAGCGUGCGCACCGCUGCCCCUCGUGGGCGGCGCUCUGGGCGUGCUCUGGGCCAGCAUCGGUUUUUGCCGCGGGAGAAGGGCGGCGGGCAUGUAGCUCUUCCGAGUGUUAUAGCCUGCCGCCGGCGCCGCGAGCGGGGACCGAGGACUGCGACUUUUGUCUCGGAUGCUGGACAACGGCGCAACACCGC
rnacentral:rRNA from 1 species